UGAUCAAACAUUACUGAAAACAAGAAAUCUCGUGGUGUCAUGUAAUAUUCUCCUUCAUACUCCAGUGAUGCAAAAUGCAUAAAGCGAUUCUUCCGAAGAGACAGUCUUUCAGCCAUUUCUGCAUUUGCAACAUCUUCCUUCUGAGCCAGGACGGUGAGGAACCCGCCCGUCCCCGGCCGCCCCCAGCUGCCGUAGCACACCGCCACCGAGCCUCCCCCGAGCAGGGCGGCGGCAGCGGCUAUCCUCCAGCCAGGCGGGUGCCUCUGACUCCGGGCGGGCCGCGGCCCGAGCAGCCGUCCCCUCAGCGGAGCUCGGGCACCCACCGCCAGCGCAGCUCUCCACGCCGCCAUCUUCCCGGAAACCGCCGACAUGGGGCGCAUGCGCGGCAGCGGGGCUAGCGGGGCUAGCAGGGCUAGCUGGGCUCUGUGGCCCCGGCGCGCCCAGCGGGAUGGGAGCUGCCCGCGGCGCGGGGCGAGCGGGCCUGGCGGAAUGGUAACAGAGGAGUAGGUGCGUAGGACCUCGGAGAUGGCUUUCAGCGGGAGCUGGGACUUGCCCGCUCGGUGCGAUCCCGGCGGUGGAGGGGAUGGCGGGGGCAGGAGAUGCGCUGUGGUUGGACUUAAUGUGGUUGGACUUAAUGGUCUUAGAGGUCUUUUCCAACCUCAACCAAUCUGCGAUUCUGUGACACUGUGGGAAGCUCAGCGGGCAGAGCGGGUCAAGUCAGGUGGGGCUGUGUCAGUGCUGCAGCAUUGACUUGGUGCUGUGGGGUUUUCUGAGUGCUGGGAAUGUCAUGUAGGCAUACUUUGCACUGCACGUGUGCCAGGCGAAUAGCAGCUGGAUCAUGAGUGGGCCUAAAACAUCCUUGUGGAGUAGAGUUUCUCAUGAGAUACAGAUGACAGGAGAUGUUGCUUAUACAAAGUGUCAUGGCAGACCUGGCUGCUGAGGAGCGUGACAGAUGGAGCUGACCCGUGCCAUCACUUAUGUCAGAGACAGCUACUCACCCUGGGUUUUUCAACAUGUGCUUUGGUCCACACUGCCACUUCUGUUUUGAAGUGCUCUAAGCCUUGGCUGGAUUGAGCUUGGUAUUUGCUGUUAAUGAAUUGUCAAUCUUAUGAGGAGUGGCUGAGGAAACUGGGAUUGUUCAGUCUGGAGGAGACUUAGGGGUGACCUUAUCGCUCUCUCCAAUUGCCUGAAAGGAGGCUGUGGUGAGGUGGGAGUCAGCCUGAAGCUGAGCCAGGGGAGGUUUGGGUUGGAUGUUAGGAAAAAUUUGAUCUCUGAAAGAGUGGUCAGGUGCUGGAAUGGGCUGCCCAGGGAGGUGGUGGAGUCACCGACCCUGGAGGUGUUCAAGAAAUGUGGAGAUGUGACACUGAGGGAUGUGGUUAGUGGGGAAAUAUUGGUGGUAGGUGGAUGGCUGGACUAGAUGUUCUGGAAAGUCUUUUCCAACCUUAGUGGUUCUAUACAUUUUGUAUUCCUUUUUUUUUCCAGCAGAAGCCUGCCCUUUUCUACUUAGUCCCAAAUACUGCUUUAAUCCCUUAUUCCUAAUAGCAAAACGCAUUUUCCAAUACAAAUGGUUGCUAGAUGUUUUAUCAAUCAAAAAUUUAUUUUCAGAAUGAGUGGUGAGGCAUUUGGGACAGGCUGCUGGGUGAGGUGGUGGAGUCACCAUCUGUGGAGAUUUUCAAGAAGUGCCUGAAGAUGUGGCAUUUAAGGACAUGGUUAGUGGGCAUGGUGGUAAUGGAUUGAUGGUUGAACUACAUAAUCUUCAUGGUCUUUUCCAACUCUAAAGAUUCUAUGAUUCUGUGAUUCAUCUUCCAUGACUGGGCCAUCUGGGAACUGGUGAUAUGGUCACAUGGGAAACCAAACAUCAUUUGUAGGUUUGUAGUGCUAUGAUUCAAGUUUUUGGAGUGUUCACCUGGCAAAUGUGAGAGUGGAAAAAGCUGGAGAGAGAACUGCUCAGGGUAGUUCUAAAUUUAAGGCAUUUGGGAGAGAAAAUGCAGUUUCUCAUUACUUUGGUUAAAAGCCUUCAGAAGGCAUUCGGUCUGUUGUAGUAAGCUGUGCCAUUCACCUCUUUCUGAUACGACAGCAAGUACAUUGCCAGCGUUACAGACAUGGAAACAUGGAAAUGCCUUUUUGCCUUCUGUCUACUGACAAAUGGUGAUUACCCUGUGCUAGUAAAGGACUUUUAGAUUGCUGUCCUUCACCAAUCUGAACUCAGAGACAUGAGUUCACUUUUGUACGUGUUAAUUUCAGAUAUCUAAAUAGUGGCAUCUCAGAAUUUAUCCAGACUUCCAUUAGCAUGUGUUGUCCAUUGAAUGUCAGUCAGCAACGUGUCUGGGACAUCUUCAGGAAUGUGCAACCUGAAUCCUUAGCAGCACACAAACUCUUCAAAAACACCUUCUCUGGGGAAUAUAAAUGACUGCUCAUUGCAAAAUCACCCAAGAGUGCAACAUGCAGGGUGAAUGGUUUUCAUUUCCAUGGACUGUAAUAUACAUUGCAAAAUCUUUUUUUUUUUUUUUUAUCCCCAGAGACACAGAAAGUAACUCAUACAAGAAAAUCCUUUAUAAUCCCCAGAUACUGUAAAACACAGCAGCAAAAUCCCUCUGUCAUGCUUAAAACACAUACUGAAAAAUCCCACUUCUGUUGCAGAGCAGUAAAACUUACAGCAAAUUCCUGUUCCCUGUUUCUACUUCCCUCCAGACAGACAAAAUAUUUUCUGUCCCAGCCUUAUUACUUGACACAGUAUUUGCACAAACACAUUAUGAGUACUUCCCUUUCUGUGUCAACCAAUAAUAUGCAACUCAUGGAUGCUGGCAACAUCCCAGAAGCAUUGUAAAGGAUAGCUGUGGGAUUUGAACUCAGAAUGCCAGAUCCCAUGAUGUUGAACAUAUGACUGCAGCAUAGGUAAGCAGGGUGAAUUCAGCACCCUGCCAGGCAUCUUCAGUUUUUCUUUGAGUAAGAAUGACUAAGUAGGUCAUUUGCCUUUCCUUGGAUGACAUUCUUGACUGGAACAGACACAGCUGCCAAGUGAAAGGAGAGCUACUCCCUUAUGGCUGUAAGCACGCAAUGCUGGUGGGGAGGUGAGAUGUCCUUAGCCACCCUGUGUGUAGGAUCCUGAAGGAGUGCUCAGCUACUGCUGUGCUCUCAAGGCCCACACUUAUGUUGCAGUAACUAGGCUCCUAUAUUCUGGGUGCUCAAAUGUAUACCUAAGUAGCCAGAAAGGCUAUGAAGAAGUAGUCCUAUUUCACCUGGUGCAGAGUAUCAGUACAGGAUGGUUUGUGUCAGAAUCCAUAAAGAUUACACUGACAAUCUGGUAAACAUAACAGGAGUUUCAUCAGAGGUGACAAAUGUCAUCAACUACUAUGAUCUGCAGCACUUAAAUUUUAUUUCAGAGGCUGUCUUUCCCACCCUGCACAGUUUUCUCUUCCUUGACCUUCGCAAGCAGCAAUCAUGAUGUUUAGCAAGCUUUACCCGUUUUUUUAACAAGUGCUUUCUACAUGUUGGCUUCAGACUUCUAGAGAUAUUUGCACUGAUAAAAAUUUCAAAAGCAAAUGAAAAGCCUAAUUAAAGAUUUUCUUAUAUGCUUAAGGAUGUAAUUUUCCUGUAAGAUUCAAUGCUCCACUGAAUUGUAAUAGAGCAGUAUUAAAAUGCAGUUAUUGCUUAUUAGGCAUAAUGAGCAUAAUGCAUAAUCACAUCAAAAAAUGAACACAUACUGCCAUGAAACAAAGCCCGUGGGACUCCUCUGAUACUUAGGAAAUCAUUUCUGACAUAAACUUCAUUUUCUUCCAUGAUUUUAUAACAAUGUGAAGUGUUAAAAUAGGAAGUAAACUUGCAGCUUCGCAUCCCUGAACAUCCACCUCCACAUCUCAGUGUCUUUUAAGAGCGUUAGGCCAGGUUCCAGCAUGGAUUCAGUCUCUGUUAGAACUCCAAUCCCCUCAAGAGCAUUAGGCUUAAAGCCAGCAUUCAUUUACUCUUGUAACGGCUUAAAUUAACUCCUGUUAAUUCAAGCCCUUUCUUACUAUUUUAGAUAGAAUAAGAGUUGAGAGAUGGAUUCGAUCAUCCAGUCUGAGGGCCACCCAUCUUGCCAGUCUGUCUUUGGAGACUUAAAAUGCUGUGUAAAAGGGUUCGGGGAGGAGAGAUGACCAGCCACUUGUGAACAGAGGGAGGGGCUGGGAAGCCCCCCUUUAUAGGUGGGGAGAAAAGGCAUGGGGAUGGUCUGAUUUAUUUACUAUGUGUGCUAUUUGACAGCAAGUGCCAAACGAAGGUAAGAUUUCAGUAGGCUGGGCACUGUGCUAAUGAUAUUUGGGAUACUUUUCCUGGAGGAACCGAACAGGCAAGACUGAAAGAUGGGAAAUAUCACAGCUUUAUUUUGUGAGUGAAGAACUGGAGCGUGGAUUAAAUUCUGCCCAAAGUCAGACAGAAAACUUGAAACGGAAGGUCUCACAAUCCCAGGCCUUCAAAAUAACAUCGGUCCACUUGAGAAUAUCACUUCUAUUUCAUUUUAACAAAAGUGAGAACUAUUUGUCUCUCAGUGAUGACAAGGAAAACACUCAAAAUCAGAUAGGGAUAAGGACAGUGAAGAUAAAUUUUGUUGAAUGUAAUAAAACAGUCCUUGCACACCUUGAGAACUGGAAGGUGAUUUGAUAAAACUAGACAAUCUUUAAAGUUGGCCAACUGAUAUCUUCAUCUCUACCCAGAGUCUCUAAGGUUCUAUACCAAAGUUGUUUAUUGUGAAGGCUGGGAAGAGAUUUAAGGGAUUUCCAAUGGCACUUUAUACACUAGAGAGACUAUUACUCCAUCGUGCCUACCCAUUCCCAUUCCAAAGCAAAUAAAGAAUAAGUUGAUAGCAGUUUCAAGGAAGCUGAAAUAUCCUCCUGUGGUGAAGGAGCCCAAGGAUGACAUUGUGCUGUUUGUUAAGAGAAAGCCCAGUUAUUUUAUAGGAUUUGGAGGUAAUGGAAAUUGACCUCACUACCAGACAGUCAACAUUCAUGCACCAGUAAGGAUGAGAAUAAAUGCAAUUUUGUGGCUAGAUAACACUAUUCAGCUCAUAAAAAAGAUUUUACUGCAAUCAUUGCAUUUAGGAGCUAGGAUAUAAAUAUUGUGUGUCUUCAAAUAUUUUCAACUCACUAAAGAUACUCAAAAGCUUAUCAAGAUGGAGUCCAUUUGAAAUGAAAAUAAUUAAAAUUUAUAUGAUUUUUUGAAGGUGCAUUAAUUUCGUAUGUCCCCAAAUACCUCUUAUAAUGCUGCCAUACGUAAUGAGUUCCCUCAGACUUCAGAACUACUUUUUAAGUUUAAUUGAAAAUCAGAAGAAAAACAAGUUGAAAAAGAGUGUGGCCAGCAGGUCAAGGGAGGUGAUUUUCCCUCUCUACUCUGCCCUGGUGAGCCCACAUUUAGACUACUGUGUCCAGUUCUGGGCUCCCCAGUUGAAGAAACAGAUAUCUCCUAGAAGGAGCCCAGCAGAAGGCCACAAAGAUGACAAAGGGCCUGGAGCAUCCCCUGUAUGAGGAAAGGCUGAGUAACCUGGGUCUGUUCAGCCUGGGGAAAAGAAGACUGAGGGGGGAUCUGAUAAGUGUUUAUAAAUGUUUAAAGGGAGGUUGGAGGCAGAUAUAUGAGGCCUGGCUCUUCUCGGUGAUGUGUAGGGAUAGGACAAGGAGUCAUGGCCUAAAACUUGUACAUAGGAAGUUCCGUACUAAUGUGCAGAAGAAUAUUUUUACAGUAAGGGUGACAGAGCACUGGAACAGGUUACCAAAUAAGUUGUGCAGUCUCCUUCUAUGGAAAUAUUCCAGACCCAUCUGGACACCUACCUGUGCGACAUACUGUAGGGAAGCUGCUUUAGCAGGGGGUUGGACUUAAUGAACUCUUGAGGCCCCUUCCAACGCCUCCCUUUCUCUGAUUCUGUGAUUUCUUAAAUGUUAAAAAAAAUAUUCUGACAUGUGAAGACAUUACAGACAAAACUGGGAAGAUGUUAAAAUAUAAUUUCUAAGUUGGUAGUUACCUUUUCAUGAUAAAGAUUUGAUUCAUAAAAGAAAUGGUAUGUAGACUGCUGAAGUAAUGCUUUUAUGUGAAUAAAACCAGAGCAGGUCAAACCUAAUACUGUUUGUAAAGCAAUGUGCAUAUCUUGGUGCAAGUACACUCACUGUGACUCUGCAGCUUAGGAAAAGGUAUGUGCCUAACUUUGCAUAUUUGGUAAGUUUUGUGGUCUGAAGCAAGAUUGCUGCUGCAUAAAAUAGAUUGUAUACACGAGUCACUGAAGACUGGGGACUUACUCACUACUAGGUGAGAUCUGUGGUUUGGCUGCUCUUUUAUCUUUCAGUGAUAAGAUCCCACAGUACUGUUGCGACAGUAAUAGAAGUCUCACAGUCCCUUGAAAGUGUUUUAAGUAAUGGAAUUACAUUACAUACUUUAGUGGUUAGUAUUUUCCUUGUGGUUCCGGAUGAGUAAAUUGUACUUCAUUUUUCUUUCCUUUCAAAUGAUUUUGAUAGUGUUCCUAGCAUAGAUUAAAAAAGACAAAUGCAUAUCUAAUUGAAAUAAUCAAAUUUAGACUUUUUACAUGUAUCUUUAUAUUCAUAGCCACAUUUUUAGAGACAUUUAUAUAUGCUUUUUGCAUAUAAUACUUUCAAUUAUUGGAUUUCCUGAAAUAUUAUCAGUGCUUUCCAUGUAAAUACAAAUUUUUAUUGUGGAGACAUUACUGUAUUUCAGGAAACACUUCUUUUCUCUUUCAUUCUCUGAAAUCAGUGUGAGCACUCCCCUCAGUUUAAUUAUACCAGUAUUUCACCUUAAGUUUUAUGGGAAGAGUUGUAGCAAUAAAUGCAGUUAAGGUUGCCCAACACUUUCUGUCGUAUUCUGUACAUAAUUCUGUACAUAAGAAGAGAGAGAGAGGGUACAAUAAAACAAGUCAAGAUUAGCAAAGUUAAUUUUAUCUGGGUUACUGCAAAAACAAGGAAGAUUUAUUAGGGACUCAGUCCCAUAUUUUUAAGUGCAAUUUGACUGAUAUAAUUUUAAAUAAUUAUUGUUAUGUAGUUCAAAAGGAUGGCAAAGACGUUACUUCACAGUGCUACUAAAGAAACAUAGAGGAUUAUCAGUAUUUUAACCUAUAAAAUAUUUUAAAAAUACAUGUUUUCCAAAAAUGUUAAAGAAGCAUCAAAUACCUUCUUAUUUUUCCCAGACCACUGCCUAAGGCUAAUAUUAGCAACACUUUGUACUACCACUAUGAUUUAUUAGUUAAAGUUAUCUUAAAUUAUAACAUCUUUAAUACUGCUGAAGAUGGUGAAGUGUAUAUAAUUGUUUCUCUGAAAAAGAAAGGAAUUAUAGAAUGUUAAAUUACUGUUUUCUGUAACGCAUGCCAGUAUUUCAGGUAGUGUUUACUUCCCUUGCUCAGAAUACCAUUUAUGAUGUUUGAUUACAAAUGUUUUUGUAUAAGGGAAAGAAGGAUUAUUUUCCAAAUAUUCAUCUUUGGUAGUGUAGUAGCUAAAAGUAUAGGAUCUGAUCUAAGCUAGGAGCACUGGUACGUGUGUGUUAGACACAGACCUUCACUAUAAAAGUUUCUGAGAUCCUUUCAUAAAAAUGUGGAAGUCCUAAUCCAAGGUUCACUGUAGUUGGCAGCGUUGUUCUGUUUCCAUUGAAGUCUGCCUUUGGGUAUUAUGGAGUUGAAAAUCAUCUACACUAUUUGUAUAAAUAUCAGGAGCAGUCUUUGUAUAUUAGCUAGUAAAGGGGUUCUUAGUCUGCCACUACAACCAAAAGGGUCUGCACGGCCACUCACAAAGGCAUAACAGUAAUAAAAAUCCUGCAGAAGCUGUGCACGAUGCUGCUAUUUGGAGAAUGGCACCCACCUCUGUUCAGACAAGAGUUGGCCGUUGUCAGGAGAACAGCUGAGUGCACUCAGCAUGGACUUCUAGUCUGCUACCAGAUCCUGUCUGGGACAGCAUCUGAAUUGCUCAUGUGCAAGGAGGCAAACUGUAUGGACAGCAGGAUGCCGAGAUACACAGAUGGGCUCAUGUUCAUAAUGCUUGGGGUGAUCACUUAUUCACAUAGCAUUCACAGUGUUUAUGGGCUCAUGCUUAUGUGGCUUGGGUAUAGCUUCUAUCAGUCUGGUCUGGAAUGGAGAAAUUUAGCUGGAGCAGUCCAGAGCGCAGCCAGGGCACCUGUGUGAUGCUGGUUCUGGUCUGUGAGCCCUGUCUGUGCCUCUAUGUAACACAAAAGAUGUACCCAUAGAAUGCUAGUCAGGAUCCAUAGCAAAUCAGCUGUAACACAAAGGCAGAUUGGCCUGGUGUGACAGAGGCUGCCUGCCUGCUUGCAUGUGUUAGGUGAAAGUACAAGGGCUGCUGCAAAAGUAAUGUCUCCUAUUUUAUUAUGUUAGUCUGUGACAUAAAAAGCAGAUGUAUGGCAGCAGAGCUUGAACCUUCCACCAGUAUUCCAUUAUAUUUUGUUGCUGUGUGACAUAUGGCAGCAGAGGCGCGGUCUGACAGAAUGACUUUCUGACAUGGAAGUGCAUAUGAAGCAAAGGUGUGGAAUUAAAUUCCUUAAGGUGGAAAAAAUUGCACCCAUUGACAUUCGUUGGCACCUGCUGGACAUUUAUGGAGACCAAACAGUAGCUGUGAGCACAGUGAGGUGGUGGGUGGUGCAUUUCAGCAGUAGCAACAGUGAUGUGAAAGACAAGCCAUGUUCCCAGCUGCCCUGCACAGAUGCCAUCCCAUGAAAUGAAGAGCAUCUCAAUCAGCUCAUCCACAUGAAUCUGCUAAUGAUGGUGACUAUGUUGAAAAAUAGUGUUUUGUAGCUGAGAAUUUGAUCGAUCAAAUAGCAUUAUUGUGCUCUUUGUAUCUGUUGUUGUUUCCAUGGAAAUAAAUAGGAGGUACGACUUUUGGAACAACCUGUGUACUUAUUGAGGCUUCUUACCAUGCUAUCAGCUGCUCCUAAACUUAGUUGAGUGGCUGAUUGUGAGUAUGAAGGGGGAGUCUGAUGAAAACAAGCUGUUUAUUGUUCUCUACAGCAGCAAAAGAGACAGCUUUAUUGACUCAGAGGACCUGAGGUCUGCCUCGAGCAUCCCACUUCGUAAGCAAUGAGAAGGUCCAGUAGGCUGUGGCAGCAGUGGAGGACUGAGGACCAGCAGAGCCUAUAGGCCAACUGCUGGAAACCAGGGACUGUCUAAGGUGUGAUCUUACCCCAGAUUUACUCAGAACAGCUGUCCAUUACACUUGAUAACAUCCUGGCACCCAAAAGAGCCAAGUACUUGUAUCAGACCUGAACAGAGGAAGUGGAAAGCAAGUCUGAAGGAUAAGUAUUGCAUUAUUAUAUUGAAUAAAAUGUAGGUUAGCAAUUAUUACAUAUUAAGUGGGAUCUGAAUUACUUAACACCCGUGCAAUCUAUUUUCUUCUCCAGAAACAGGGGACCACUUGGAAGGAUUGAGGUACCUCAACAAGAGCCAAGUAUUAUAUAAUCUGUGAAGGGUUUAUGACAGAGAUGGAAAUAAUUCUCAAAGACAAAAGCUAUUUAUAAGAUAUUUUCUGCAAAUAUUAUUGCACUGUUUGGAUGGUUUUCAGUUGAUCAUUAAUUACUUUUUUAGAGAGAAAAUUUCUGCUCUGUUGAUCUUUUGGGGUCUACAUUUGGCAUCCGAGGAUGUCUGUGUCUGUAUUGUGCUGCUGCUCAUCUAUCUGCUGAUAUUCAACUUACAUUUAAUUUUUUAAUUUUCUCAGCUGUUAUCUACUGAUUCUAAUUUGCUGUAACUUAUAUUUUGAAGAGACUACUGAAGUGAUUCAGGAACUAGCCUAAGUAAACUGUUUUCAGGUAUUUCACAUAGCUUUGAAAAGUCAUGGAGGAUAGAAGAGACAGCAGAAGACUGAAAAAGAAACAUGAUAACUCUUGGAAAAGCAGAUGGAAGAGUACCCAAGUAAUUUUAAUUAAGUAGCCUAACUAACUUCCUGGAUUUUGGAAAAAAAAUAACCAGUUUCUAAAUGCCUAGAACAUGAUAAGGCAAGAAAAACUUGCUGACAUUCCUCUCUCGACAACAUGUGAUACCAAACCAAAUGAAUAUCCUUUUUCUACAUAUGGCCUACUAGAUACAGAUGAAGCAGUAAAUAUUACUCCGUUCCCUGUUGAUACUUGUAAGUAACUAAAGAUGUACAUCCUAGACAAAAUCACUAGAAGGUGAGGAUAGAGGAGGACAACUGCUCAGCAAUACUACUUUUGAAAAGUAGCUGUGGGUUGCUGACAGUCAAUUUGAGAUGGCAUUUCAGGUAGGCUUUAGGAAUUUGGUGACUAUUUAAUGUGACAGGAUGAUUUUUAUUUUAUGCCAGGCUUUCUAUCUAAAUGGCAUAAAUAAAAAGGGCUGCAAUUCUAGGUCAUGUACAAACAGAAGUGACGCAGCUUGUUUCAGGUGAUUAAGUCCUGGGUCAAAGGACAAGAGUGCCACUCUUUGUGCUGUAGAUUGCUACUAGUUUCUUUCUGAGUCCUUUAAUGUGUCAUUAAAGUCCUCUGCCUGCCUUCUCCAGAGAGUCUCAGAGCUAAAACAUCGAUACUGUAAAAUAUACUACCCUGUUAUCAUACCGGUAAUAAUCCUAUGUGUUAAGCCUGAGAAUACAAACUAAGUGUAUAUUGUAAACUACAUAUUUUGUUCUGGUAAAUGAGAAAAAUUGCAAGAUGUUUACUUGCAAAAGGUGUUUUGCCUAGUUUCUCCAUACUUGAUGUUAAUCUGCCCUUGACAGCUAUUAAAGUAGAAAUUACUGCCACUGUAUUGCACAAAAGCAGAGAUUCUGCAAUUGUGAUUUUAAUGUAGUUUGGAACACUUUGUAGUCUUCAGAGUCAGACACAUUUUCCCCAUCGCCCAAAUUAUUUUAAAUUGCAAGUAAAGUUUUGCAAAGCUGUUACCAUUAUUUUCUCAGUUCACCUAAGCUGUUUUUACAAGACAUGUUAUCUAAGCGAAAUCACAACAUCUUUUAUUAAAGUAGUUAUAAGAGCAUUGAAACUGUCAGCUGUAAUUUGCAGCUUUUUCUCCUUUAGAUUCUGCACUAUUGCUGAAAAAAAAAAAAACCAAAACCAAAACCCACAGAAAACAAACCCCAGUAACCUAAGUUACAAUCCUUUUUUUUUUUAAUAUAUAUUUGCCCAGUGUGAAUUUUAGAGAAGAUACCUGUAAAAGUUUAUUUGAAGAGGAAAGAGCAGAACUGCCAAUGGGCAGCCUGAAAAAUGUCUGAUGAUGCUGUGGUCAAGAGCGUCACACCUAUGGGAUAAAGAGGAUAUUUUGUUGUCUUUGCAUCUUCUACAUGUAAGAGUGCAUUUAAGCUGAAGUGAAGGCCAGAACCUGAGCCCAGAACUACAGUCAAGGAGAAAGCAUCUUCUUUUUAGAUUUUUCUAUGACUUAGCCUGCAGUUCUGCCUACAAAUCUCCAAAUCACUGCUAGAGAAGCAGAUGCAGUUGUUUAUGUGCAGGUGUGCUGCAUACCUGAUGUAAUCCUGCAAGUUCUACAUCCACAGAACUUCUGCAGAAUUCUGAGUGAGGUCUGUGCUUGGAAGGCUUCCACAUCCAGGUUCUCACAUCAGGAAAACCUCAAUCAAAGCCCUCAAUCAAAGUUCAAAAGCAAACAAACAAGCGGUCUUUCCUUAUUGCUGACAUUAAUCUUAUCUGAGUCUCAGUCCCCCAGACCUCUCUCCUAUGAGUUACCUAGGUCUGUGACACAGACCAUAUUUUGUUUUCAGAUGCUAAUGUAGCUUUUACUUCAUGAUCACAUUAAUUGCAUUUGUGCGGUGGAGAUUUUUAAUCCCAAAAGGUGCUGCCAGCUUUUGUGUACUCAAUUUAUGCUUAAGAGGAGUUUCUGCACUUCACAGUGACCUCUGCUGACUUUCAUAUAUUUAAAUUCUGAAGUUGUGAAUCUCCUUGAUUCAUCUUCUGUUAAAGCAUGUCUGCUAUGCAAAAACUGGCAGGGGGGUUAAGGAGGAUGAAAAAAGCGGUAUUACAGAGAACCAGGAUAUGGCAUGGUAUUUGUUCCUUGAAGGCAUGUUGCCACCAAGAAUAACACCAAGAAUAAUGAUCACACAAAGAGAAAAAAAGAGUGCUGGAGAUCUAUGAAAUUUACUUGAUUUUGAAAAGCUUAGUUGAAGAAAGACCUAGAGGUCUGACAAUGCCUACUGAGCUCCUUAAAUGCAGCGGGUUGGCACUCUGUGGAUGUGGCAUAUCAUCUGUUGGACAGAGUAAGUCAGCCAUUCUCCUGGCUCUGCUCUAGCUAUGCACAGCUGGGAAUUUCACAUCAGGAAAGGGAGGAGGAUACACAAACUCCUGAUAUUUCAGAAGAUGUGCAUGCUAAAAUGCAAAGCCCUGGGUGCUGGAGGUAGCUGUGAUGAGUUUAUGGCGCAGGAGCCACAGCUGGUAGGAAGAUACAUGAUCUCACCCGAAAAUGCUGUGUUAUUUUAGUCUCUCUUUUACACACAUAGAAGAAUCAAACAGUUUGAGGAUGAGAGAUUUGAGAAGCAAAAUGGAAGAGAUCAGAUUGUUACACAAGAAGAACUAAGGGAGCUUUUAGUAGAUGAGUAGGAACAAGAUGAAAUGCUGUAAUACCCAGUGCAAGGUCAGUGGGUAUUAUUAAAGGCAAAACACUGGAAUUUCUGCUCUAGACGCUUGGUGAUUAAGGACUCCAUACAUGAACAAGUAGUUCUUGCUCCAGUCAUCAAACAGCCACACCAAAGAAUGAGUAAGAUGAAAGGCAAGGCUGCUGUGGAAUGUGGAGCUGAUGAGAUAGCCGCAUGCUGAGAACACGUUGGAGGUGAAAUCGAUGAGUGAAUUCAGUUGAUUGCACCUUCUGUAAAAUGUAAAGAAGCAGAGAAGAGUAAGAAGUUUUCAAUGAUUCUAAGAAAUCAGAGCAAAAAAAGACAAAACAAAAUCCCAAAACAACCUGAGAGACUGCUUCCAUGACACUGCAGUCUUAUGGGUUACGCUGUCAGCAAAAAGACUGUGAGUUUUCUGUAGACUCAGCAAGAAUGGCCAUGCGGCAGCAGUUAGCACUGUGUGCAAUGCUGGAAGUGAUAGGAACCAACUGGAGCAGUGACUGGAAGCAGAAGUCUUCAGAAGAGCAUCAGCAUUCUGUGAUGUGAGGAAAAUGCUGUCCUGCCCCUUUAUACUGGUGGUGUGUUUAGUGGACUGGGACAAAUAUCUCUCAUUAGAUGGGAAUUCUGAGUUUUUCCUUUCUUUUGUUUCAAUAACAUGAAUACUGGAGAAGGAAAGUAGGCUGCUCUGCAUCUGAAAGGGAAAGCAGUGAAGUCUGUGAUCUCUGUUUGCUUAAAUGCUAAACAGAAAGAAAGAAGAAAGAAGGAAAGAAGGAAAGAAAGAAAGAAGAAGGAAGGAAGGGAGGGAGGGAGGGAGGGAAGAAGAAGAGAGAGAGAAAAGCCAUUUUAGAGCUUCCUACUUCAGAGCUUCCUUUUCUAAGGACCAGUCUUGAAAGAAGUUACUUGCAAGAUCAGACUGGAAGACCAGGUGCAGGCAGAAUUUGGUAGGAAAUGAAUACUUUGUCUUGUGGUGUAUUAUUGCAUACAGUCUUGGUGUUGUCUUGUUGCCUGCACCAGCUUCCCUCCUCAGUUUACUUCAUAAUUAUUAUGUGAAUAAAAAUGUGCCAUGAAUAAAAAAAGUACAGUGUUUAUCUGCUUCUCUGUAACCUGGCAGGACUACCCAAAUACCCUAAUGCAUACAUCAUAGCUGUGUAUCCUAUGACAUAGGAAACCUUCAGUGAUUUAGACUUGGUUGACAUUCUUUUCAGAAGUGCUAAGAAGGCACGAAGUGAAGUAAAGCAAGUAUUUGAGAUUUUCACGUGACAAAAAUGCCACAGAUUAAUGAAAGUGUACGACCACUGUAGGAGGGUGAGGGCAGGAAUUUAAGACAGUGGUGGUAGCUUAAUGUCGGGCACCAAAACCUUCAUCCUAAGUGAAGUAAGUAAAUAAUUAAAGAUACUGAGGGAAUCUUAAUGGAUCUAGUUUUCCAUAUGCACUUUCUGAAAAGUGCUCACUUUCUGAGCACUCACAUGAGGCAUCUUCAGAAAUUUUUAACUUAAUUGCCCAAAAUGAGACACCUAAGAGCCAUUUUGAGAACCUUAGCUUUUCAAUCUUAAUUUUGUCCUUGUUCUUUGAAUAUUUGUCAUUGGCCUUACAGAACACAAGAUUUCAAAUAAUUUCAGUCAUGGAAAUGGUUUGACUCUCUUUCCUGAACAGAGACACUGCAUGUAAAAUACCCCUAUAAAUGAUCAAUACUAUCCAAGCGUAUUACCAGAAUCCUGCUAUUUUUCAAGCAUGGCAUUUGUACGUGUCUUCUAGAUUUAUUUUUACCUUUCAAAAAUGCUGAGAAAUAAGCUUAAUUUCCACUGUUAAAUUAAAAGACAUCCUGAAUAAAAGCUUCUCAUUUUAAUAGCUUUGGAAUGCAAUAACUUUGAAGUAGUGGAUGGGCUCUGCAUUAUGUAGACUUUGCUAACACUCAGGGGAAAUUGCAAAGAUAAUAAUAGCUACAAGAUUCGCUGUUGUUGUCUGAAUACCAUACAAAGAUAUUUAAAAUGACUAGACAAGAAAUUAGGAAAGCGGCAUAUGACUCAAAUUAUAACUGAAAUAUGGAGACUACUGGACCAAAAUCUGCAUGAGGGAAAAAUUUACUGAUGGUGAAAUCUACAGAAAGAAAUAUUCAAGAAUAUUUAUGAAGGACUCGGUUCUCACACUUCUGCAGCUGAGUACAGUUUUCCAUCAUUAUGGAAGCUGCAGCCAAAAAUGGCUCACAGAUUCUGAGGUUUUACAACGAUGAACUGUGAAGAGGGUUUUUUCUUUUUUUUUUUCUUUUUUUUUUUUUUUAACCUGGAGAAAUAAAGGACCCAAAUGUGCUUACCCUCUGUUCACAUCAGUUGUCAGAGCUCCAGCAAUGGCAUGGUGCUCUGCCAAGUUACCUAAGCGAAGAAUCUAAUCCAGAGUAUUUUGGAGGAACGGGGUUUGCAAUGUGGCUGCUGGAAGACACAACCAAAAAAGACAUUCCCUGAACAAGGGAGCAAACUUACAGGCUCUGUAUCUGAGCACUCAGCAGAACCAGAUUCCCAGAUACAGAGCUGGAACAACCCGAUGAUUACAGGAAUAAGAGGUAUGAAUUCCGGGGAGUUCAAGCAAAUUUUUUUUGCUUGUUCAUAUCAAGACUUUUACAAAUAGCAUAACUUGAGGCUUGGCAAGAUAAUUUUCCUUCAGUUUUGCCACGUGUUUCUUUAGAAGCCUGGCCCCCACUAAAAAAAGCAGGAUACCUAAUACAAGAGGUCUGCCCGAUGUCUCAACAUUUACACGCAUAGUUCUGUUGGCUGCAGUACUACUGCAGUAAGGGCAGGAGUCAGAGCCAAUUUGUCAGUAUCUGCAGAAGAAGUGAGUUCUCAGUGCAUGGCUGUGCUAUAAAUCCACUCCCUGAGAAUGGUUAAUUGCAGUUCUCUUCCUCAAACCUAGAGCAGUGUUUAAAGUGGAGGAAGCAGAGGAACCUCCUGAAUGAAUUCUACCCCAACUGCCUGUCAGUGUUUUUACUGCGAUAUCUAGAGAAAGCAAAGCUGUUCAGACAGCAUCUAUUUCUGGUGUGAAUUCCUACGGCUGCUAUGUUUUUCAGACCCUCUGACAAAUUUCUAAGCUCCCUUGGAAUAACAGCUGCUGGGGGGGACUGGAAUCCCCAUGGUGGAUUUCAGGUUCACAGACAUUGACAAAAGCUCUGAAAAAUGGAACGGGAAAGCUUUGCUUUAUCAAGGGCAGCUAUGAAAGCAGGGAGAUUUUUUUCUGAGAAAUGAAGGACAGGAUGUGGAUUCCCACUCUGAAUUUUGAGGGCUGGAGGCAGAGACACAGAGACAUUUUCCUCUUCAGCUCCUCCAUGGGGAAGUAUACCCUCUGAGGAGAAACAGUCUGACAUUCAGAAGUGUGUUGGUGACCCUUGUGAGAACAGCGCAUUGGCAACUAGAUGGGAGGGAGAGUCACAUCUGGGGAUGUGCAGCAGCUUAGAACCACUGCUCUGUUCUUUUCCUUAAAGUCAGUUUUUCACGCAGUAAAAAACCUGAAGAGACCACUAUUAAGAUCGAGAACAACUCAAACUCACCAGCAUUUCCAACUCUUCACCAGCACCUGGGAUGAUACUGAAAAUACUUUUGGAGGCACACAGUGACACGUGAAAAGAUGAAACAGAUGGCGAUUUAUAUAAUGCAGUCCAUCUUCUCUCCCUUCACCACCUUCAGGGUACGCUAUCAGUGUAAGACAGCGAAUACCACCAAACACAGAAAGUCUACCCAGUGUCAUUAAAUUGCCUGUGAUGUUGCUGCUGAGGAUCAGCACUCGACUGUGUUAUUGUCUUGACCGCCACUGAAUUUUCUGCUAGGAUCAAACAAGCAUUUUUGGUUGCACACAGCAUUAGCAUGGUUAGUCAGUCAAUCAGGACUUGAGGUAAACUUUUGAUAUGGUUAAAACUGUGUUUUGUGUUCACCAGAGCUAUAUCAUGGUCAACACUUGGAUACUUCUUUGGUGCACGAGUAGAUCCGUCAUGUGAAAUGUCCACUACUCUCUGUAUCAAUGAUGAUGCUCACACUGAAAGUAGUUUUUAAGCAAUUGAUUGGUUCCACUAAAUAUUUGACACACGAUACACACAACCAGUUCCUAACAGUGAGCAAACAAAACCAUGUCCC
rnacentral:lncRNA from 1 species